AUACGGAGGGUGCAAGCGUUAAUCGGAAUUACUGGGCGUAAAGCGUACGUAGGCGGUUUAUUAAGUCAGAUGUGAAAGCCCCGGGCUUAACCUGGGAACUGCAUUUGAAACUAGUAGACUAGAGUAUGGUAGAGGGGGGUAGAAUUCCUAGUGUAGCGGUGAAAUGCGUAGAUAUUAGGAGGAAUACCAGUGGCGAAGGCGGCCCCCUGGACCAAUACUGACGCUGAGGUACGAAAGCGUGGGGAGCGAACAGGAUUAGAAACCCUGGUAGUCC
rnacentral:rRNA from 1 species